rnacentral:rRNA from 1 species
GAUGAACGCUGACAGAAUGCUUAACACAUGCAAGUCUUUGGUGAAGCUGUGCUUGCACAGCCUAGCCAAGGCGGACGGGUGAGUAACGCGUAAGGAACUUGCCCUGCAGUCAGGGAUAACAGACGGAAACGACUGAUAAGACCUGGUAAAGUCAGGCGGACUCAUGUCCAGCCUGAUGAAAAGAGAUGCUGCAGGAGAGCCUUGCGUCCUAUUAGCUUGUUGGUGGGGUAACGGCCCACCAAGGCAAUGAUAGGUAGCCGGCCUGAGAGGGUGGACGGCCACAAGGGGACUGAGAUACGGCCCUUACGCCUACGGGAGGCAGCAGUGGGGAAUAUUGGACAAUGGGGGCAACCCUGAUCCAGCAAUUCUGUGUGCACGAUGAAGGUUUUCGGAUUGUAAAGUGCUUUCAGCAGGGAAGAAAAAAAUGACGGUACCUGCAGAAGAAGCGACGGCUAAAUACGUG